rnacentral:rRNA from 1 species
CCUACGGGUGGCAGCAGUGGGGAAUAUUGGACAAUGGGGGGAACCCUGAUCCAGCCAUGCCGCGUGUGUGAAGAAGGCCCUCGGGUUGUAAAGCACUUUCAGUGAGGAAGAACGCCUGGUGGUUAAUACCCAUCAGGAAAGACAUCACUCACAGAAGAAGCACCGGCUAACUCCGUGCCAGCAGCCGCGGUAAUACGGAGGGUGCGAGCGUUAAUCGGAAUUACUGGGCGUAAAGCGCGCGUAGGUGGCUUGAUAAGCCGGUUGUGAAAGCCCCGGGCUCAACCUGGGAACGGCAUCCGGAACUGUCAAGCUAGAGUGCAGGAGAGGAAGGUAGAAUUCCUGGUGUAGCGGUGAAAUGCGUAGAGAUCGGGAGGAAUACCAGUGGCGAAGGCGGCCUUCUGGACUGACACUGACACUGAGGUGCGAAAGCGUGGGUAGUAAACAGGAUUAGAUACCCCAGUAGUC